GGGAGCAUAGCUCAGCUGGUUCAGAGCACCUGCCUUACAAGCAGGGGGUCACAGGUUCGAAUCCUGUUGUUCCCA
rnacentral:tRNA from 1 species